AGCUCCAAGAGCGUAUAUUAAAGUUGUUGCAGUUAAAAAGCUCGUAGUUGAUCUUUGGGUUUGGCUGGCCGGUCCGUUGUAUUGACGAGUACUGGUUUCAGCCGAGCCUUUCCUUCUGGUUAGCUCCUGUUGGGCUUGUCUCGGCAGGUAGUGAUCCAGGACUUUUACUUUGAAAAAAUUAGAGUGUUCAAAGCAGGCGUUUUGCUCGAAUAUAUUAGCAUGGAAUAAUAGAAUAGGACGUAUGGUUCUAUUUUGUUGGUUUCUAGGACCAUCGUAAUGAUUAAUAGGGACGGUCGGGGGCAUCAGUAUUCAAUUGUCAGAGGUGAAAUUCUUGGAUUUAUUGAAGACUAACUACUGCGAAAGCAUUUGCCAAGGACGUUUUCA
rnacentral:rRNA from 1 species